rnacentral:rRNA from 1 species
GAUGAACGCUGGCGGCGUGCCUAAUACAUGCAAGUCGAGCGAACAGACGAGGAGCUUGCUCCUCUGACGUUAGCGGCGGACGGGUGAGUAACACGUGGAUAACCUACCUAUAAGACUGGGAUAACUUCGGGAAACCGGAGCUAAUACCGGAUCAUAUAUUGAACCGCAUGGUUCAAUAGUGAAAGACGGUUUUGCUGUCACUUAUAGAUGGAUCCGCGCCGCAUUAGCUAGUUGGUAAGGUAACGGCUUACCAAGGCAACGAUGCGUAGCCGACCUGAGAGGGUGAUCGGCCACACUGGAACUGAGACACGGUCCAGACUCCUACGGGAGGCAGCAGUGGGGAAUCUUCCGCAAUGGGCGAAAGCCUGACGGAGCAACGCCGCGUGAGUGAUGAAGGUCUUCGGAUCGUAAAACUCUGUUAUUAGGGAAGAACAAAUGUGUAAGUAACUAUGCACGUCUUGACGGUACCUAAUCAGAAAGCCACGGCUAACUACGUG